rnacentral:rRNA from 1 species
AGUGAACGCUGGCGGUAGGCCUAACACAUGCAAGUCGAACGGCAGCACAGUAAGAGCUUGCUCUUACGGGUGGCGAGUGGCGGACGGGUGAGGAAUACAUCGGAAUCUACUUUUUCGUGGGGGAUAACGUAGGGAAACUUACGCUAAUACCGCAUACGACCUACGGGUGAAAGCAGGGGAUCUUCGGACCUUGCGCGAUUGAAUGAGCCGAUGUCGGAUUAGCUAGUUGGCGGGGUAAAGGCCCACCAAGGCGACGAUCCGUAGCUGGUCUGAGAGGAUGAUCAGCCACACUGGAACUGAGACACGGUCCAGACUCCUACGGGAGGCAGCAGUGGGGAAUAUUGGACAAUGGGCGCAAGCCUGAUCCAGCCAUACCGCGUGAGUGAAGAAGGCCUUCGGGUUGUAAAGCCCUUUUGUUGGGGAAGAAAAGCAGCAGGUUAAUACCCCGCUGUUCUGACGGUACCCAAAGAAUAAGCACCGGCUAACUUCGUG